CGACGUAAAAGCUAAAAUCUAAAUCUACAAUGAAAACAGGAUUUCAUGAAACGUAAACAACUGAACAAACACGGACAAACCGUGAAUAAACAGUGCAAAAUACGAAUAAUUUCAACCCAU